CCUACGGGCGGCAGCAGUGGGGAAUAUUGGGCCAUGGAGGCAACUCUGACCCAGCAACGCCGCGUGAAUGAUGAAGGUCUUCGGAUUGUUAAGUUCUGUGAUGGGGGCUGCACACAAUGACGGUACCCCAAUAGCAAGCCACGGCUAACUACGUGCCAGCAGCCGCGGUAAUACGGAGGUGGCAAGCGUUAUCCGGAAUGACUGGGCGUAAAGGGUGCGUAGGUGGUUUAGUAAGGUGGCGGGUUAAUUCCGGGGCUCAACCUCGGCGCCACCGCCAAAACUAUUAGACUAGAGUGCAGGGGGAGUAAGUGGAAUGCCUGGUGUAGCGGUGGAAUGCGUAGAUAUCAGGAGGAACAUCAGGUGCGAAGGCGACUUGCCGGACUGUAACUGACACUGAGGCACGAAAGCGUGGGGAGCAAACAGGAUUAGAUACCCGGGUAGUC
rnacentral:rRNA from 1 species